AGUUUCAUUUCAAUCUUGGUAGCCUUGUGUACCGUCUAUUCCAAAUUGACAUAAUUUUGAAGUUCAACGACGUUGGCUAUCUCCUUAUUUAGGCCCUCCAAGAACCAAGCCAUGGUAGCUUCUGGCCGUUCGUCUAUUUGUGCCCUAAUCAUAGUUAUUUCCAAUUUUUUGUAGUAUUUUUCCAUUAACUUGGAGCCUUGAGUUAGGUGUUGCAGCUUCAGAUUCAUGUCCCUGUCGAAAUGGGUUGGUACAAACUGUUUCCUCAUAGUGGAUGUUAACUCUCUCCAAGUGGUGAUUUGUA
rnacentral:lncRNA from 1 species